UACGAAGGGGGCUAGCGUUGUUCGGAAUCACUGGGCGUAAAGGGUGCGUAGGCGGUCGGGUAAGUCUGACGUGAAAUCUCCAAGCUCAACUUGGAAAUGGCGUCGGAUACUAUUCGGCUUGAGGAAUGGAGGGGAGACUGGAAUUCUCGGUGUAGCAGUGAAAUGCGUAGAUAUCGAGAGGAACACCAGUGGCGAAGGCGAGUCUCUGGACAUUUCCUGACGCUGAGGCACGAAAGCCAGGGGAGCAAACGGG
rnacentral:rRNA from 1 species